UACGUAGGGUGCGAGCGUUAAUCGGAAUUACUGGGCGUGAAGCGUGCGCAGGCGGUUUUGUAAGCCAGAUGUGAAAGCCCCGGGCUCAACCCGGGAGGGUCGUCGUGAACCGGGGGCUUGAGGCCGGUAGAGGUGGGUGGAACUCCUGGUGGAGUGGUGAAAUGCGUAGAGAUCAGGAAGAACACCCGUGGCGAAGGCGGCCCACUGGGCCGGCACUGACGCUGAGGCAUGAAGGCGUGGGGAGCGAACGGG
rnacentral:rRNA from 1 species